rnacentral:tRNA from 2 species
GCUUGGAUGGCGAAAUUGGCAGACGCACGAGACUUAAAAUCUCGUAUCCCGUAAGGGGUGUGCGGGUUCAAGCCCCGCUCCAAGCA